AAUCAACGCUGGCGGCGUGCCUAACACAUGCAAGUCGAACGAGAAAGUGUAGCAAUACAUGAGUACAGUGGCGACCGGGUGAGUAACACGUGACUAACCUACCUUCUUGUGGGGAAUAACCUUCCGAAAGGAGGGCUAAUACCGCAUAACAUCGCGAGGUGAGAUUCCUUGUGAUCAAAGGAGCAAUCCGCAGGAAGAGGGGGUCGCGGCUGAUUAGCUAGUUGGUGAGGUAACGGCUCACCAAGGCAGUGAUCAGUAUCCGGCCUGAGAGGGCGAACGGACACACUGGAACGGAAACACGGUCCAGACUCCUACGGGGGGAAGCAGUGGGGAAUUUUGCGCAAUGGGGAAACCCUGACGCAGCAACGCCGCGUGGAGGAUGAAGGUCUUUGGAUUGUAAACUCCUUUCGAUCGGGACGAUGAUGACGGUACCGGAAGAAGAAGCACCGGCUAACUCUGUGCCAGCCGCCGCGGUAAAAC
rnacentral:rRNA from 1 species